rnacentral:rRNA from 1 species
GAUGAACGCUGGCGGCGUGCUUAAUACAUGCAAGUCGAGCGAACAGACGAGGAGCUUGCUCCUCUGACGUUAGCGGCGGACGGGUGAGUAACACGUGGAUAACCUACCUAUAAGACUGGGAUAACUUCGGGAAACCGGAGCUAAUACCGGAUAAUAUAUUGAACCGCAUGGUUCAAUAGUGAAAGACGGUUUUGCUGUCACUUAUAGAUGGAUCCGCGCCGCAUUAGCUAGUUGGUAAGGUAACGGCUUACCAAGGCGACGAUGCGUAGCCGACCUGAGAGGGUGAUCGGCCACACUGGAACUGAGACACGGUCCAGACUCCUACGGGAGGCAGCAGUAGGGAAUCUUCCGCAAAGGGCGAAAGCCUGACGGAGCAACGCCGCGUGAGUGAUGAAGGUCUUCGGAUCGUAAAACUCUGUUAUUAGGGAAGAACAAAUGUGUAAGUAACUAUGCACGUCUUGACGGUACCUAAUCAGAAAGCCACGGCUAACUACGUG